UGAAAAUGAUCCAGAAAUAUUUAAACUUGUGUUUUAUCAAUUAUAAUAUUUCUACUUGAAAAAGGCCAAACAAACUGCACAAGAUGGAUCUGUUCACUCACAACAUGAAAUACUUUCUCAAAUAUAGGUGAACAUAUUAUUGAAAGUUCAUGAAAGUGGGUGUGCAUGGGAUGAAAAGGGACUUCUCGUCCCAUGGACAUCCACUUAUAUAUCUCUCAGUGAAAAUGAUCCAGAAAUACUUAAAACUACCAAACAAACUGAAAAAGAUGGAUCUGUUCACACCCUGAAAUACUUACUCAAAUAUAAGUGAACAUAUUAUUAAAAGUUCAUGAAAGUGGUUGUGCAUGGGGUGUAAAGGGACUUUAUACCCCAUGGACAACCACUUAUAUAUCUUUCAAUGAAAAUGAUCCAGAAAUAUUUAAACUUGUGUUUUAUCAAUUAUAAUAUUUCUACUUGAAAAAGGCCAAACAAACUGCACAAGAUGGAUCUGUUCACUCACAAUAUGAAAUACUUACUCAAAUUUAUGCGAACAUAUUAUUGAAAAUUCAUGAAAGUGGGUGUGCAUGGGGUGAAAAGGGACUUUUCAUCCCAUGGACACCCACUUAUAUAUCUUUCAGUGAAAAUGAUCCAAAAAUACUAAUAACUUGUGUUUUAUUAAUUGUUUAUAAAUUUCUACAUGAAAAAAGCCAAACAAACUGCACAAGAUGGAUCUGUUCACUCACAACAUGAAAUACUUUCUCAAAUAUAGGUGAACAUAUUAUUGAAAGUUCAUGAAAGUGGGUGUGCAUGGGAUGAAAAGGGACUUCUCGUUCCAUGGACAUCCACUUAUAUAUCUUUCAAUGAAAAUGAUCCAGAAAUAUUUAAAACUUGUGUUUUAUCAAUUGUUUAUAGUAUUUCGACUUGUAAACUAUUAAACAAACUGGAAAAGAUGGAUCUAUUCACUCACAACAUGAAAUACUUACUCAAAUAUAUGUGAACUUAUUAUUGAAAAUUCAUGAAAGUGGGUGUGCAUCGGUUGAAAAGAGUCUUUUCGUCCCAUGGACAACCACUUAUAUAUCUUCCAAUGAAAAUGAUCCAGAAAUACUUUAAACUUGUGUUUUAUCAAUUGUUUAUAAUAUUUCCACAUGAUAAAGGUCAAACAAACUGCACAAGAUGGAUCAGUUCAUCCACAACAUAAAACACUUACUCAAAUAUAGGUGAGCAUAUUAUUGAGAGUUCAUGAAAGUGGGUGUGCAUGGGAUGAAAAGGGACUUCUCAUCCCAUGCUCAUCCACUUAUAUAUCUCUCAGUGAAAAUGAUCCAGAAAUACUGAAAACUACCAAACAAACUGGAAAAGAUGGAUCUGUUCACAACCUGAAGUACUUACUCAAAUAUAAGUGAACAUAUUAUUGAAAGUUCAUGAAAGUGGGUGUGCAUGGGAUGAAAAGGGACUUCUUGUCCCAUGGACAUCCACUUAUAUAUCUUUCAGUGAAAAUGAUCCAAAAAUUCUGAAAACCUGUGUUUUAUCAAUUGUGUAUAAUAUUUCUACAUAAAAAAUACCAAACUAACUGCACAAUAUGGAUUUGCAUAUGGAACUUGUUUAAACAACCGUGAAAAUAUUUAUUAUUAAUUCAUAAUGCAGAUUUUCAGUUAUGAAAAAAACGGAUUGGUAUCUUUUGAAAUGAGCUUAUGUAAGUUUUUGUCUUAGAAAGAUAAUGGCAUCGGAAUUUUUUUUUUUCAUGGACACCCACUUAAAUAAUCUUUAUAUUGUCUUAUUUCUGUACUGCUAAAUAAUUGGUUUGUUUUACCUAUACUUUUGGAUAGAAUAGAUUUGUAUAGAACCUUUAGAAUAGAGGAGAGUAAGUCAUUAUUAGAUUGAUCAGUAUUAUGUCUCGAGAAAUUAUAUUCCUUAAUUUAUAUUAUAUUUUAUAACGAAAUGAAAAAUGUUGUUUUUAAACUUUCGAAACUUAAAAACAAAUUCAUUACAUUUGUCUGGUUGUUCUUGUAAUAUGCAUUCUAUCCUAUUAUUUGUAGCAAAAAUGUAUUUAUAAAAAAUUAUGUUAGUAUUUGAAAUGUAUUAGUUCUAAAUUUAAAUUGAUUUAUUCAAAUCUAUAAUAAUUAUAUUAUAUUGUAACGAAAUUUAAAAUUUUUAUUUUUAGUUUAAUUUAAUCUUAAAAAACUAAAACUAAAACAAUUGUAUUAAAUUUGUUCGUCAGUACUUAUCAUUGUGUCUUGUUAUUUGUAAUAUAAAUUUUAUAAUUCUUAUAUUCCUUUUUUGUAUGGAAAUUUUCUAGCACCUUUAUUUUGAAAAAGUGUUUUUAGAAUCAAUCAAUGACAGAUUUUCUAAUUCGUCUAAUUUUAUUUGACACUUGAAACUAGUCAAAAG
rnacentral:lncRNA from 1 species